rnacentral:rRNA from 1 species
UACGGGGGGGGCAAGCGUUGUUCGGAAUUACUGGGCGUAAAGGGCGCGUAGGCGGCCUUCUAAGUCAGACGUGAAAUCCCCCGGCUUAACCUGGGAACUGCGUCUGAUACUGGAGGGCUUGAGUGCAGGAGAGGGAUGUGGAAUUCCAGGUGUAGCGGUGAAAUGCGUAGAUAUCUGGAGGAACACCGGUGGCGAAGGCGGCAUCCUGGACCGACACUGACGCUGAGGCGCGAAAGCUAGGGUAGCAAACGGG